ensembl:lncRNA
UGAAUUUGGAGGGGGAGCGGGGUAUACAUUCAGCCCAUAGCAGCGGGUCUUCUAUAAGUCCGUGGGGGAGAGUGCUUUCUGCAGGAAGUCGUGCCCCAGAACACACAGUGUGGGAGAGCUUGGUCAUAGAGCUCGGGAGGAUGAAGCUUCUGGGGACCUUCUGCUGCCUGGGGAACUCGGGAUCCAGCUAGAGUCCAGCACUGUCUCCAGGGCCCCGCCCCCUUGCCUGCUCCGCCCCGCUGAAGCCUCCCGUGGCUGAUGGGGGCCGUGGUGGGAAAGUACCUGUGAAGAGCCACGGAGGGGCCUGCAGAGCCCCAGGGAAGAGCCCAUGGCAGGAAGCCACACAGAGGAGCAGAGAAAGUGACUGAAGAGAUGUGGGUCCAAUCCCUGGAUCUGGAAGAUCCCCCGGAGAAGGAAAUGGCAACCCACUCCAAGAAUUCCAUGGACAGAGGAUCCUGGCAGGCUACAGUCAAUGGGAUCACAAAGAGUCAGACGUGAUUGAAAUGACUUAGGACGGAUGGACGAUGUUGCUUAAAGCGAAUAAAAUGAUGAUAUGAGGAAGGAGAAAGGAAAAUCAUUUUCAAAAACAACCUUGAAUUCCCCUGAGAAGAGCAGCGCUUGGUGUCUAGAAAGGACGUCAUCUACACCUCAUCAGUGGCCAAAGAAGUCCACCUGUUGGGACAACAUUGUCUCCACAGACACACCUAUCCCGUGAGCAGAGUGGGCAGCUGCUCAGAACCAGGAACUGAUGCGCUGGCUGAGCCCUUCAGCCAGCACCCUGUGUGGCCAGGAGCUUGUCCCCAAGGCCGGCGAUCACUAAGGAGGUUGAUCCAUCUCCAAGUAACAUGCUCUUCCUCCUUUCCGGGACAGGCCCCGUGUUCUCAGCUGAACACAUCAUAUUUUCCAUGUCCCAGGAUGGGACUGUUGUCCUGGCGUCCAGCACACCCAGUGGACUUAGAGACUCUUGAUUUCCUGCUGAGGCCUGAGAAAAACAGGCACCACAGAGGAGCCAGGUCAGGAGGCAGCAGGGUCAGAGCCCUGGGAAUUCCCAAGGAUCCCUCAGCCUUGACGUCUCUGCCUCUUUGGGGCCGGAGCACCAGCGGUCAGCUCUUCACUAAACAGACAGGGUUGGGGAAGGAUCCACGUGUGAGGGCUGCACGGCUUCUCCAAACUCCGUUUUAAACAGCUCUGAGCGUCUAACUCUGUCCGUAACCCAUGCUGAUGAGACAAUGGCCGGAGCCAGUUGGAGACCGGCUUUCUCAUCCUCCAUCGAACGGACGCGCUGCGGAACGCACAAAGGUGGCGAAAGCAAGCAAUAGUCUUAAAGCACCAACCACGCAGACAAAAGACUGCCUAGGAUCUGGCAACCAGCAAGUAGACGGCAGGUAGAAGGUGUCCCUUGCUUGGGCUGCAGGGCUCCUGGUCGUAGGACCACGCGGAAAGGAAGCCUUCUCUGUGGAGGCUGGAUGGGUACGAGAAGCACCUGGAGGUCACUGAUGUAGGAAGCGGUCUGACCAUCUCCAAGAGUGUGGGGCCCAGGAAAGGGUAUGUUUAAUAGAAGCCUCUGGCUCUGCCUGGAAUACAGGAGGCGCAGGAGAUGCAGGUUCGAUCCCUGGGUUGGGAAGAUCCCCUGGAGAAGGAAAUGGCAACCCACUCCAGUACUCUUGCCUGGAGAAUCCCACGGACAGAGGAACCUGGUGGGCUGCCGUCCAUGGGGUCGCAGAGAGUCAGGCAUGACGAGGCACACAGCACACUGGCCCCAGGCUGGAGGAGGGUGUCCAGGGAGCUCUCACAGUUUCACUUUCCGACGUGGAUCAGGCCAUCCAGACAAACUCGGGAAUUCAGAUGGAGCUGGACAAAGGCAGGGAGGCCAGAGCCCCAGCACCGGAAAAGAAGGCCAAGGGCCCAGAGAGACUAGAAAAGAAUCUGUUUACUUAACAUUGAAACUAACAGGGGGGGAGUCUGGUUCCUACCUGAAGUGGUUCCAUGCAGUUCAUUCACUCCCUCACGCACUUUCUCCUACCAACGUCUACAAACACUUCUGAAAGUGCCCUGUCUGCAAACCUAUGCAGGACGGGUAGAGAGGGGAGCGGGGAGCCCUACAGAGACCGAGGGAGGGGACAAACGCUUGGUCACUGGAGCUCUAAGCUGUGGCUUCCAGGCACUGAAAAGUACUUUUCUCUGACUGAUAAGAAUAAACAUUCACAUGGAGGCUCAGGAAAGGUUCCUGGUCCUGAAGUUGAGUAAGAAGCCCGCUCUCGUAGGAAGAUGCUCUCCCGAUCGCCCAGGUGCUGCAGCUCAUGUCCAGGAUUGGCCCCGCCGUCAGCUGCAGGCCCCUUGCUGGUCUCAGCAUUUCCUUUGUCCCUCGGGCUGGUCCUCAGGUUCUGAGAAGUGUAUGAAUUUCCCCUAAAAUUUCUUGCAGCACAAAAGCUGCUUUUGUGCUGUGGAACUUUGUGGAGGGUUUUGGUUCCUUGCCGGUGGCUUGCGUCCUGUCACUCACACUCACCUCCUGGGCUGGUGAAAAGGUAGGGAACUCGCUACCAUCCCCCCACCCUCAUCUGCCCCUGCAAGGAAGCCAUGGUGGGGGGAGGGGAUGUAGGAAAAUGCCCUAGGGCUAAACUCAAGAGACUUGUGAGUAAUCACCUGUCCUGCCACCUGCUGCCUCAUUCUCACUGCUCUGGCGGAAAAGAAAGGGGAAAGGAAUUGGUCCACACUGGGUUUUCUCCACCUCGGUGCUGCUGACAUCUUGGGAGAGAUGGUCCUUUGUUGGGGAUGGGGCAUGGGGGGAUAGCUGGGCACUGUGUGUCCGAGGCUUAGCACCAUCCCUGUCUCCACCCAGAAGCAGCCAGCCGCAUCCCCUCCAGGCGUGACAACCCCCAGGAUCCACGAACAUUGAUAAAUGCCCCCCAGGCAGGAGGGGAACUUCCCCAGGAGAACCACCAGUCCGAAACAGCGCCAUCUAAUCCAGAAACCAUCCAGGGCCCCUGAGCAAGUGAAACGUGGCUAGUCCAAAGUGGCACGUGCUGUGGGCAUAAACUGUAUCCUGGAUCUCAAGUGUUUACACGGAAAGAAAAAAAGUAAACCAGCU